UACGUAGGGGGCAAGCGUUGUCCGGAAUCAUUGGGCGUAAAGCGCACGUAGGCGGCCCGGUAAGUCCGCUCUGAAAGUCAGAGGCUCAACCUCUGGAGGCGAGUGGAUACUGCCGGGCUAGAGUCCGGAAGAGGCGAGUGGAAUUCCUGGUGUAGCGGUGGAAUGCGCAGAUAUCAGGAGGAACACCUAUGGCGAAGGCAGCUCGCUGGGACGGUACUGACGCUGAGGUGCGAAAGCGUGGGGAGCGAACAGG
rnacentral:rRNA from 1 species